UGCACCGUGGCGAAAUGGUAAACGCGCAGCACACCCAAUUGCCUGAAAGGGCCAAUGACCAGUAUGCUGUUCCUCCUGGGAAUGGGGGAUCAAAACCCUCCGGUGCAA